AGGAGCAAGUGCUGUGCCUACCGAGCCACCCUGCUGUCCCCAUUUAGUCUAUAUUUGUGUAUAUGCAAGCCAGCUCAACCUCAGACAUCACUCCAAAAGUCCAUUUUCCAAAUAAGCUCCUUUAAUGCCUGGGGGUUAGUCUAAGUGGGCUAGCAUCAGGGAUUCCCUCUACAAUGUACUGCUCCCAGUGUUAGUUCAGGCCCAGGCUGCACUUAGAUUUCCAUGGCCAGCUUUUCAAGCAUGUCCCAGGAAUAGGACGUCUUCUUGCUUCAGCGGCAUUUUUACUGACAGGUACUUCCCCAGCCCUCACCUUGUUGUCUUUAAAUGUUUAAUUUAGUUAUUCUUAGAAAGGUUGCACAGAUGUGAUAGUCAGAGGACGGCGUUCGGGAGUUAGCUGUCUCCUUCCACAGUGGAUUCCUGGGAUCUAACUUAGUCUUAAGCGAUUGCGUGGCGGGUGUCCUUACCCAUUGAAGAAGCUACCUCAUGAGCCACCUUCACUUGUAAAGCAUGCAUUUCAAAACAGAGAUGUAACCCUAGCUGAGGCCAAGACAAGAGAAUCACUGAGUUCUAGGCAGGCUGUGCUCCAGAGCAAGUUCAGAUAAACGAGCAGCCCACCAAUCCACAACUCAAAGCUGCCACAAAACUUCAAAGCUACAUGGGUGUAUACCACUAACAGACAUCCAUCCAUACAUGCAUGCACAUACAAUCAAACACAUUAGCGAAUGAGCAGUGCCUGGCAGUACCAGGUGCAGAGUCCAAGUUCAAUAAAUAUAAACCCUUAUUACAAAAGGGAAGCUAUUAUUUGAAAAACCAAGCACUAUCUUUUUUUGAGACAGGGUUUCUCUGUAUCGCCCUGGCUGUCCUGGAACUCACUCUGUAGACCAGGCUGGCCUCGAACUCAGAAAUCUGCCUGCCUUUGCCUCCCGGGUGCUGGGAUUAAAGGCGUGCGCCACCACGACCGGCUCAAGCACUAACUUUUUAAAAGAACAUUCAAAAGAUAUAGUUUGACAUACUUUUAGUGGGGGGAAAACACUAUACUAGAUUACUGAAGACCGUGAACACAACCUCUGAAUUCUAAGUAAAGUUUCCCGGCUACAGCUGCCCUGGGUAACCUUUCAGGAUAUUUGCUGCACUGUCAAGAUGGCUGUGCUUUACCAGGAAUCUUGUCAAAUACCAAUCUCAAGUCUUAAAAAAAGAAAAAACUUCCUUAUGCACACGACUUAAGGCCUGAAUUUAAAAGUAUUAACAGUUUAUUUUUCAAAGCUGUAUUUCUGUUAUUUUUCACUGUGUGUAUGGAUGUGGGGGUGUGCACCCGUGUCUGUGUCCUAGAGGCCGGAGGUGUCAGUACUUGGAGCCUGAGAUACAGGUUGACAUGGUUGCUGAAAACUGAACUCAGGUUUUCUUAGAGUAAUACUCACUCUUCACCACUUAGUCUGCUUAGCCUCCUAAAUGCUAGUAUGCAAAAAUAACAAACGUAUACUGAUGGAUAGGAGAAAAAAAACAAGCAAAAACAAGGUUCUUGAAAUUUCAAAGCCUAGGACUUGUGACUCCAGUACACAACCUAUUAUACACAUUCUAUAAACAUAAGAAUUAUGCUCAGCAGUGGUGGCACAUGCCUUUAAUCCUAGUGUUUGGGGGGCAGAGGCAAGCAGGUCUCUUAGUCUGAGUCCAGCCUAGACUACAGGGUGAACUCUAGGACACCCAGGGCUAAACUUUGUUUCAAAAAC
rnacentral:lncRNA from 1 species